rnacentral:rRNA from 1 species
CCUACGGGUGGCUGCAGUGGGGAAUUUUCCGCAAUGGGCGAAAGCCUGACGGAGCAAGACCGCGUGAGGGAGGAAGGCUCUUGGGUUGUAAACCUCUUUUCUGUGGGAAUAAGUUCUGAAGGUACCACAGGAAUCAGCAUCGGCUAACUCCGUGCCAGCAGCCGCGGUAAUACGGAGGAUGCAAGCGUUAUCCGGAUUUAUUGGGCGUAAAGCGUCCGCAGGUGGUUUUUCAAGUCGAUUGUCAAAGGCAGUAGCUCAACUACUGACAGGCAGUG